rnacentral:rRNA from 1 species
CCUACGGGAGGCAGCAGUGGGGAAUAUUGCACAAUGGGGGAAACCCUGAUGCAGCGACGCCGCGUGAGUGAAGAAGUAUUUCGGUACGUAAAGCUCUGUCAGCAGGGAAGAAAGAAAUGACGGUACCUGACCAAGAAGCCCCGGCUAACUACGUGCCAGCAGCCGCGGGAAUACGUAGGGGGCAAGCGUUAUCCGGAAUUACUGGGUGUAAAGGGAGCGUAGACGGUUAAGUAAGUCUGGAGUGAAAGGCCGGGGCCCAACCCCGGGACUGCUCUGGAAACUAUUGAACUUGAGUGCAGGAGAGGUAAGCGGAAUUCCUAGUGUAGCGGUGAAAUGCGUAGAUAUUAGGAGGAACACCAGUGGCGAAGGCGGCUUACUGGACUGUAACUGACGUUGAGGCUCGAAAGCGUGGGGAGCAAACAGGAUUAGAUACCCUUGUAGUC